CUUAUGAUGAUCUUUCGCACCUUCGCAUAGUUCACACUGAACUACUAGCCAUGUUGACACAAAUGCAUCUAACGUCUUUCGCUCCUAUCUGA
rnacentral:snoRNA from 1 species